GGCCUACCAUGGUGGUAACGGGUAACGGGGUGUUAGGGCACGACACCGGAGAGGGAGCCUGAGAAACGGCUACCACAUCCAAGGAUGGCAGCAGGCGCGCAAAUUACCCAAUCCCGACACGGGGAGGUAGUGACAAUAAAUAACAAUACGGGGCUCUUUUGGGUCUCGUAAUUGGAAUGAGUACAAUUUAAAUCUCUUAACGAGGAACAAUUGGAGGGCAAGUCUGGUGCCAGCAGCCGCGGUAAUUCCAGCUCCAAUAGCGUAUAUUAAAGUUGUUGCAGUUAAAAAGCUCGUAGUUGAAUUUCGGGGUCAGUAGGUUGGUCGUGCCUAUGGUAUGUACUGGCUUUACUGAUUCCUCCUUCUUGAAGAACUGUAAUGUCAUUAAUUUGGUGUUGCAGGGAAACAGGACUGUUACUUUGAAAAAAUUAGAGUGUUUAAAGCAGGCUAACGCUUGAAUACAUUAGCAUGGAAUAAUGAAAUAGGACGUUUGAUCCUAUUUUGUUGGUUUCUAGGAUUGACGUAAUGAUUAAUAGGGAUAGUUGGGGGCAUUAGCAUUCAAUUGUCAGAGGUGAAAUUCUUGGAUUUAUUGAAGACUGACUACUGCGAAAGCAUUUGCCAAGGAUGUUUUCAUUAAUCAAGAACGAAAGUUAGGGGAUCGAAGACGAUCAGAUACCGUCGUAGUCUUAACCAUAAACUAUGCCGACUAGGGAUCGGAUGAUGUUAAUUUUUUAAUGACUCAUUCGGCGCCUUACG
rnacentral:rRNA from 1 species